UAUGCAGUGCUACUCUGGCCUGCAAACUUUCUGAUGGAAAAUAUAUUGAUAGUCUUAUGCGGGUUCCCUUGCAUGUAAAAAGUUCUUUUUCUGUUGCUGCUUUUAAGAUAAUCUCCUUUCUUUUAAUUUUUAACAUUGUCUUUAUAAUGUGUCUUGAUAUGGGCUCUUUGGGUUCAUCUUAUUUGGAAAUCUCUGGGCUUCUUCCAUCUGAUUUCUUAUUUGGAAAUCUCUGGGCUUCUUGCAUCUGGAGACUGGUUCUUUCCCUAACCUGUCUCUUCCCAUCCCAGGUUAGGGAAAUUUUCAGCCAUUAUUGCUUCAAAUAAAUUUUCUGCCCAUUUCUCUCUUCUUUCUGGGACCCUUGUGAUGUGAAUGUUGGUCCACUUGAUGUUGUCCCAUAAAUUCCUUAAGCUAUCAUCACUCUUUUCAUUCUUUUUGUUGUUGUUGUUUAGUGGGAUAUGUUCUCUACCCCGUCUUCGAGUUCACCAGUCUCCUUCUGCCUCAUCUAGUCUGCUUUGAAUGCAUCAGUCAUAAUUUUCAGUUCAGUUAUUGUAUUUUUUCAGCUCUGUGAGUUCCACUUGGUGCUUUCUUAUACUUUCUGUCCCUUGCUGAAGUACUCACUUUGUUCAUUCAUUGUUGGCCAAGAGGGUAAGCAUACUUGUCUUUUUUUUUUUUUUUGGCAUUGCAAAGUAUGUCUUUUUUUUUUUUUUUUUAACUGGAGUAUAGUUGAUUUACAACGUUGUAUUAGUUUUAGGUGUACAGAAAAGUGAAUCAGGUAUACAUAUACAUAUGUCCAUUUUUCUUAGAUUGCUUUCCCAUAUAGGUUAUUACAGAAUAUUGAGUAGAGUUCCCUGUGCUAUAUAGUAGGUACUUACACAUUUUAUAUAUAGCGUGGAUAUGUUAAUGCCAAUAUCCUGAUUUAUCCCUUUCCCCCCUUUCUUGUUUGUAACCAGAAGUUUGGUUUCUACAUCUGUGAGUCUAUGUCUGUUUUGUAAAUAAGUUCAUUUGUACCAUUUUGUUAGAUUCCACAUAUAAGGGAUAUCAUAGGGUAUUUGUCUUUCUCGUUCUUACUUCACUUAGUAUGAUAAUCUCUAGGUCCAUCCAUGUUGCUGCAAAUGGCAUUAGUUUGAUAUUUUUUAUGGCUAAUAUUUCAUUGAAUAUAUGUACCACAUCUUCCUUAUCCAUUCCUCUGUCCAUUGAUAUUUAGGUUGCUUCCAUGUCUUGGCUAUUGUAAAUAGUGCUGCGAUGAAUAUUGGGGUGUAUGUAUCUUUUCGAAUUAUGGUUUACUCUGGAUAUAUGCCCAGGAGUGGGAUUGAUGGGGAUCGUAAUUUUGUUCUAUAUUUAGUUUUUAAAGCAACCUCCAUACUGUUCUCCAUAGUGGCUGCACUAAUUUACAUUCCCAGCAAGAGUGUAGGAAGGUUCCCUUUUCUCCACAAUUUCUCCAGCAUUUAUUGUUUGUAGACUUUUUAUGUUGGCCAAUCUGACCAGUGUGAGGUGGUACCUCAUUGUAGUUUUCAGUUGCAUUUGUGUAAUAAUUAGUGAUGUUGAGCAUCUUUCCAUGUGCUUUUUGGCCACCUGUAUGUCUUCCUUGGAGACAUGUCUAUUUAGAUCUUCCACCCAUUUAUUGUUUGGGUUAUUUGGUUUUUUAUGAUAUUGAGCUGCAUGAGCAGUUUGUAUAUUUGGAGAUUAGUCCCUGUUGGUCACUUCAUUUGGAAAUACUUUGUCCCAUUCUAUAGAUUGUCUUUUUGUUUUGUUUAUGCUUUCCUUUGGUGGUCAAAAGCUCUUAAGUUUAAUUAUGUCCCAUUUGUUUAUUUUUGUUUUCAUUACUUUAGGAGGAGAAUAAAAAAGAUAUUCCUGCAAUUUCUGUCAGAGAGUGUUCUGCUUAUGUUUUCCUCUAAGAUUUUUAUAGUGUCCAGCCUUACAUUUGAGUCUUUAAUCCAUUUUGGUUUAUUUUUGUGUAUGGUGUUAGGGAGUGUGGUAAUUUCAUUCUUUUACAUGUAGCUUUUACAUGUAGUCCAGAUUUCCCAGCACCACUUAUUGAAGAGACUGUUUUCUCCAUGUGUAUUCUUGCCUCAUUCAUCAUAGAUUAGUUGAUCAUAUGUGUGUGGGUCUAUCACUGGACUUUCUAUCCCAUUCCAGUGAUCUAUAGUUCUGUUUUUGUGGCAGUACCAUACUAUUUUGAUUACUGUAGCUUUGUAAUACAGUCUGACGUCUGGGAGCCUGAUUCCUCCAGCUCUGUUUUUCUUUCUGAAGAUUGCUUUGGCAAUUUGGGGUCUUUUUUUUUUUAAGGGUUCUUUAAAAAUUGUGUUGAAUUGGAGUAUAGUUGAUUUACAAUGUUGUGGAAGUUUCAGUUGUACAGGAGAGUGAAUCAGUUAUACAUAUACAUAUAUCUACUCUUUUUUUAGAUUCUUUUCCCAUAUAGGUCAUUACAGAGUAUUGAGUAGAGGUCCCUGUGUUAUACAGUAGGUCCUUAUUAGUUACCUAUUUUAUAUAUAGUAGUGUUAUAUGUCAAUCCCAAUCUACUAAUUUAUCCCUCCCCCCAUCCGGUAACCAUAAGUUUGUUUUCUAUAUCUGUGACUCUACUUUUGUUUUAUAAAUAAGUUCAUUUGUACUGUUGUUUUUUGUUUUCUAAGAUUCCACAUAUAAGCAAUAUCAUAUAUUUGUCUUUCUGUGUCUGACUUUACUCAGUAUGACAGUCGCUAGGUCCACCCAUGUAUAUUUUGUUCUUUUUUAUGGCUGAGUAACAUUCCAUUGUAUAUAUGUGUCACAUCUUCUUUAUCCAUUCCUCUGUUGAUGGGCAUUUAGGUUACUUCCAUGUCUUGACUAUUGUAAAUAGUGCUGUAGUGAACAUUGGGGUGCAUGUAUCAUUCUGAAUUAUGGAAUUGCUGGGUCAUAUGGUAGUUCUAUUUUUAGUUUUUUAAGGAACCUCCAUACUGUUCUCCAUAGUGGCUAUAUCAAUUUACAUUUGCACCAACAGUGUAAACAAUACACUGUUGAAUUGUAGAAUUCAACAGUGAUUGUAGAAUUCUUUAGUGAUAUUCUGACUGGUGUGAGGUAUCAUUGUUGUCUUGAUCUGCAUUUCCCUAAUAGUGAUAUUGAGCAUCUUUUCUGGUGCUUUUCAGCCAUCUGUAUGUCUCUUUGGAGAAAUAUCUAUUUAGAUCUUCCACCCAUUUUUUGAUUGGGUUGCUUUAUUGAUACUGAGCUGCAUGAGCUGUUCUUAUAUUUUGGAGAUUAAUCCCUUGUCGGUUGGUUCAUUUGCCAAUAUUUUCUCCCAUUCUGAGGUCGUCUUUUUGUUUUCUUUAUGGUUUCCUUUGCUGUACAAUAGUUUAUAAGUUUAAUUAGGGCCCCUUUGUUUAUUUUUCUUUUCAAUAUUCUAUUUUUCUUAUAUCUUUAUUGGAGUAUAAUUGCUUUAUAAUGUUGUGUUAGUUGCUGCUGUAUAACAAAGUGAAUCAGCCAGGGGCUUCCCUGGUGGUGCAGUGGUUGAGAGUCUGCCUGCCGAUGCAGGGGACACGGGUUCGUGCCCUGGUCUGGGAAGAUCCCACGUGCCGCGGAGCGGCUGGGCCCGUGAGCCAUGGCCACUGAACCUGCGUGUCAGGAGCGUGUGCUCUGUGGCGGGAGAGGCCACAGCGGUGAGAGGCCCGUGUACCGC
rnacentral:lncRNA from 1 species